UUGAGAAUAAGAUUUCUACUAUCCUCUUUCAGUGGUUCUGUCUUGCUUAGUAAGAAACUUCAAAAUUCCUUCAAGUUGGACAAUCUAGUCAAACUUUUUUUUAUCUUCAUAGGUCAUGUGUACAUGAUAUUGAUAGGAUUUUAUUAUAGUUUCCAGUGUAUGUAAUCUUUAUUGUAGUCUGUAGAAUGUCAAAAUAGAGAUGUGAACUGACCAGGAUUUUAGACACCUCUAGAGAGCUAUUUAGUAAGUAUUGGGUCCAUUUGUUUUAGAAACUUUUGUUCCCUCAGGGGAAAAACUGAUCUUUAGAAGGCACUAGAAGUUCAGCUCAAAAUAAUUGUGGAGUAAGAAAAAAUACCUAAAAUCAAAUCUGCUUAAUAUGAAAAAUGAAUCUACUAACUAAAAAUUUUUAGCUGCGGGUGUACUUGAUAACAUAUGCACCGGAGUAAAUGGUGCAAGCUGCGAGCUCUUCAUCUGGACUUCGGAUGGUCAAGAGGGAUGAACAAACUUUACAAGACCUUGGGCUUGUAGGUUAAGUUAUCUUCACACUCAAAAGAUUGUGCAUAGAGAUGUCAAGACGAAGAAUAUGCUAUUGGACAAGUCACGUACUAUAAAUAUUGCGGACUUUAGGGUUGCACAAGUUGAGGCCUCUAAUCCUAAUGAUAUGACGGGGGGAAUUAGAACUCUCGGCUAUAUGGCUCCUGAGGAAGAAGAAUAGUAAAGAUUAACGAGUAUGCGUACCAUUACCAGAGAUUUAAUGAAAGUGUGAUUUAAAAUUUAAGU